rfam:Cerapachys biroi unplaced genomic scaffold scaffold314, whole genome shotgun sequence.
UAACUUACUUGGCGCGGAGGAUACCGUGAUCAAGAAGGCGGUUCCUCCUGGGCGAGGCCUCGCCAUUGCACCUCGGUGAGGCUGACCCUUGCGAAUACUCCUAACGUGAGUAUGUCGAGCGCAUAAUUUUUGGUAGUCGGGAUCUGCGUACGCGCUGUCCCGGA